CCUAAGGUAGCGAAAUUCCUUGUCGGGUAAGUUCCGACCUGCACGAAUGGCGUAACGACUUCCCCACUGUCUCGACCAGGAGCUCGGCGAAAUUGCAGUACGAGUAAAGAUGCUCGUUAAGCGCAGAAGGACGAAAAGACCCCGGGACCUUUACUAUACCUUGGUAUUGGCAUUCGGUGUGGAUUGUGUAGCAUAGGCGGGAGGCCGAGAGGCGCGGUCGCCAGAUCGCGCGGAGCCGUAAGGUGAAAUACCGCUCUGUUCUCGUUUGACGUCUAACCUCGACAAGUCAUCCUUGUCAGGGACAGUGCCUGGCGGGUAGUUCAACUGGGGCGGUUGCCUCCCAAAGAGUAACGGAGGCGCUCAAAGGUCCGCUCAGCCCGGUUGGCAAUCGGGUGUCGAGUGUAAUCGCACAAGCGGGCUUGACUGCGAGGACGACGGUCCGAGCAGGGACGAAAGUCGGAGAUAGUGAUCCGGUGCCGGCGCACGGGCGCGGCAUCGCUCAACGGAUAAAAGGUACCCCGGGGAUAACAGGCUGAUCAUUCCCAAGAGUCCAUAUCGACGGGAUGGUUUGGCACCUCGAUGUCGGCUCGUCGCAUCCUGGGGCUGGAGCAGGUCCCAAGGGUUCGGCUGUUCGCCGAUUAAAGCGGCACGCGAGCUGGGUUCAGAACGUCGUGAGACAGUUUGGUCUCUAUCCUCUGCGCUCGUUGGAAUGCUGAGGAGGCCUGCCCAUAGUACGAGAGGACCUGGGUGGACGAACCUCUGGUAUGCCGGUUGUCGCGCCAGCGGCACGGCCGGUUGGCUACGUUCGGGAGGGAUAACCGCUGAAAGCAUCUAAGCGGGAAGCCUGCUCCAAGAUUAGGAUUCCGUACGGUCUUGAACCGUUGUAGCCCGCAUGUUGAACACGUGUUUGAUAGGCCGGAGGUGGAAGCCCCGUGAGGGGUGGAGCCGACCGGUACUAACGGGCGACGGCGACACAAC
rnacentral:rRNA from 1 species